AACGGGUGAGUAACACGUGAGCAACCUGCCCCUGGCUCUGGGAUAGCUCCGGGAAACCGGGAUUAUACCGGACAUGACCUUCUGCUGCAUGGCGGAGGGUGGAAAGUUUUUCGGCCAGGGAUGGGCUCGCGGCCUAUCAGCUUGUUGGCAGGGUAAUGGCCUACCAAGGCGACGACGGGUAGCCGGCCUGAGAGGGCGACCGGCCACACUGGGACUGAGACACGGCCCAGACUCCUACGGGAGGCAGCAGUGGGGAAUAUUGCGCAAUGGGCGAAAGCCUGACGCAGCGACGCCGCGUGCGGGAUGACGGCCUUCGGGUUGUAAACCGCUUUCAGCAGGGACGAAUCCAGACGGUACCUGCAGAAGAAGCGCCGGCUAACUACGUGCCAGCAGCCGCGGUAAUACGUAGGGCGCAAGCGUUGUCCGGAAUCAUUGGGCGUAAAGAGCUCGUAGGCGGGCUGUCACGUCCGCUGUGAAAUCCCGGGGCUUAACCCCGGGCGUGCAGUGGAUACGGGCUG
rnacentral:rRNA from 1 species